AAGGAUAUAGCUCAGUGGUAGAGUGUGUGUUUAGCCCACACAGGGUCUUGGGUUCAUUUCCCAGUACCUCUG
rnacentral:tRNA from 1 species